rnacentral:rRNA from 1 species
UCCCAGACUCCUACGGGAGGCAGCAGUGGGGAAUAUUGCACAAUGGGGGAAACCCUGAUGCAGCGACGCCGCGUGAGUGAAGAAGUAUUUCGGUAUGUAAAGCUCUAUCAGCAGGGAAGAAAAUGACGGUACCUGACUAAGAAGCCCCGGCUAACUACGUGCCAGCAGCCGCGGUAAUACGUAGGGGGCAAGCGUUAUCCGGAUUUACUGGGUGUAAAGGGAGCGUAGGCGGUUAGAUAAGUCUGAUGUGAAAGCCCACAGCUUAACUGUGGGAUUGCAUUGGAAACUAUAGAACUAGAGUGUCGGAGAGGUAAGUGGAAUUCCUAGUGUAGCGGUGAAAUGCGUAGAUAUUAGGAGGAACACCAGUGGCGAAGGCGGCUUACUGGACGAUGACUGACGCUGAGGCUCGAAAGCGUGGGGAGCAAACAGGAUUAGAUACCCCCGUAC